UACGUAGGUGGCAAGCGUUGUCCGGAUUUACUGGGCGUAAAGAGCGCGCAGGCGGUCGUUCAAGUCGCGUGUGAAAGCCCCCGGCUCAACUGGGGAGGGUCACGCGAUACUGAUCGACUCGAAGGCAGGAGAGGGAAGUGGAAUUCCCGGUGUAGUGGUGAAAUGCGUAGAGAUCAGCAGGAACACCCGUGGCGAAGGCGGCCCCCUGGGCCGUACCUGACGCUGAGGCGCGAAGGCUAGGGGAGCGAACGGG
rnacentral:rRNA from 1 species